UACUGCCCGUCCCCACCCUGGUGGGGGGGCAGUCAGGGACUUUUUAAUGUAUAUUAAGGGACUUCAGGAAUAUGGAGGUGACAUGAUUAGGGAGGAGACACACACACACACACACACACACUCUCUCUGAGUCUCCCUCCUCAGACGCGCAGACAGAAUUUAAAAUGUGUGCGCAUUUCCCUGACGAGCGGCGCGUGGAGCUGGACACGGAGACGAACACGCGACUCAACCGGACGCUUUAAUUAAUUAGAGACCACGAGCAGGAGACCCCGCACCGCACCGCAUCGCACCGCACCUGUUCCCGCCUUCACACACGAGGAUCCAAAAGUUCUUCCAGAGUCAGCACCAGCGAGUCCCCCGUUAUUCCUCCCCCCUCUGAUGCUGUUCACCCUCCACUGCUGGUGGUGGCGCAGAGACUGAUGCAUGCAGGGUAACUCC